AUUAAGUCUCCACCACCACCGUACUACUAUCACUCACCACCACCACCGGUGAAAUCGCCUCCUCCUCCUUACUAUUAUCAUUCUCCACCACCACCGGUUAAAUCUCCACCACCACCAUAUUACUACCAUUCUCCACCACCACCGGUUAAAUCUCCACCACCUCCAUACUACUACCACUCUCCACCUCCUCCGGUCAAGUCUCCACCGCCACCAUACUACUACCACUCUCCACCUCCUCCGGUCAAGUCUCCACCACCACCGUACUACUAUCACUCUCCGCCUCCUCCGGUCAAGUCUCCUCCACCACCGUACUACUAUCACUCUCCACCUCCUCCGGUCAAGUCUCCUCCACCACCAUACUACUACCACUCUCCCCCUCCUCCGGUGAAGUCUCCACCACCACCGUAUUACUACCACUCUCCUCCUCCUCCGGUUAAAUCUCCACCACCACCAUACUACUAUCACUCUCCACCACCACCGGUCAAAUCCCCACCACCACCAUAUUAUUACCAUUCUCCACCACCACCGGUAAAGUCACCACCUCCACCAUAUUAUUACCAUUCUCCUCCUCCUCCGGUAAAAUCACCACCUCCACCAUAUUAUUAUCACUCUCCUCCUCCUCCAGUGAAAUCACCACCUCCACCUUACUAUUACUCAUCCCCACCACCACCAAAAUCUUACCCUCCACCAUACCACUACUCAUCUCCUCCACCACCACCAAAGUCGUACUCGCCACCAUACUACUACUCAUCACCACCACCUCCUGUGUCGUACCCUCAUCCUCACCCACACCCACACCCACAUCCACUUGUCUUCAAAGUUGUAGGUAAAGUGUAUUGUUAC
rnacentral:lncRNA from 1 species